AGAGUUUGAUCAUGGCUCAGAUUGAACGCUGGCGGCAGGCUUAACACAUGCAAGUCGAGCGGUAACAGAGAGUAGCUUGCUACUCUGCUGACGAGCGGCGGACGGGUGAGUAAUACUUGGGAAUCUGCCUUUUGGAGGGGGAUAACCACUGGAAACGGUGGCUAAUACCGCAUAAUGCUUUCGAGCCAAAGCGGGGGAUCUUCGGACCUCGCGCCAUUAGAUGAGCCCAAGCAAGAUUAGGUAGUUGGUGGGGUAAAGGCCUACCAAGCCGACGAUCUUUAGCUGGUCUGAGAGGAUGAUCAGCCACACUGGGACUGAGACACGGCCCAGACUCCUACGGGAGGCAGCAGUGGGGAAUAUUGGACAAUGGGCGCAAGCCUGAUCCAGCCAUGCCGCGUGUGUGAAGAAGGCCUUCGGGUUGUAAAGCACUUUCAGUGGUGAGGAAGGCCUAAUAGUUAAUAGCUAUUAGGAUUGACGCUAGCCACAGAAGAAGCACCGGCUAACUCCGUGCCAGCAGCCGCGGUAAUACGGAGGGUGCGAGCGUUAAUCGGAAUUACUGGGCGUAAAGCGCACGUAGGCGGUUUGUUAAGCUAGAUGUGAAAGCCCCGGGCUUAACCUGGGAAUUGCAUUUAGAACUGGCAGGCUAGAGUUUUGAAGAGGGUGGUAGAAUUUCCAGUGUAGCGGUGAAAUGCGUAGAUAUUGGAAGGAAUAUCAGUGGCGAAGGCGGCCACCUGGUCAAAAACUGACGCUGAGGAGCGAAAGCGUGGGGAGCAAACAGGAUUAGAUACCCUGGUAGUCCACGCUGUAAACGAUGUCGACUAGUUGUUCGUGUCAUAAACGAUGUGAGUAACGCAGCUAACGCACUAAGUCGACCGCCUGGGGAGUACGGCCGCAAGGUUAAAACUCAAAUGAAUUGACGGGGGCCCGCACAAGCGGUGGAGCAUGUGGUUUAAUUCGAUGCAACGCGAAGAACCUUACCAUCCCUUGACAUCCAGUGAAUCUUCUAGAGAUAGAGGAGUGCCUUCGGGAGCACUGAGACAGGUGCUGCAUGGCUGUCGUCAGCUCGUGUUGUGAGAUGUUGGGUUAAGUCCCGCAACGAGCGCAACCC
rnacentral:rRNA from 1 species